rnacentral:rRNA from 1 species
GUUAUAGGGUCAAGUGACUAAGUGCAUGUGGUGGAUGCCUUGGCGAUUACAGGCGACGAAGGACGUGAUAGCCUGCGAUAAGCUUCGGGGAGCUGGCAAAUUAGCUUUGAUCCGGAGAUUUCCGAAUGGGGAAACCCACCCGCAAGGGUAUCGCAUGCUGAAUACAUAGGCAUGCGAGGCGAACCGGGUGAACUGAAACAUCUCAGUAGCUCGAGGAAUAGACAUCAACCGAGAUUCCGAAAGUAGCGGCGAGCGAAAUCGGACCAGCCUGCACGUUUUAGCAGUUGAUUUAUCAGAACAGUCUGGAAAGGCUGGCUAUAGCGGGUGAUAGCCCCGUAUGAAAAAAGUCGAUUGUAGAACUGGGCGUGCGACAAGUAGGGCGGGACACGAGAAAUCCUGUCUGAAGAUGGGGGGACCAUCCUCCAAGGCUAAAUACUCGUAAUCGACCGAUAGUGAACUAGUACCGUGAGGGAAAGGCGAAAAGAACCCCGGGAGGGGAGUGAAAUAGAUCCUGAAACCGCAUGCAUACAAAAAGUCGGAGCCUGUAAAGGUGACGGCGUACCUUUUGUAUAAUGGGUCAGCGACUUACAUUCAGUGGCAAGCUUAACCGAAUAGGGAAGGCGUAGAGAAAUCGAGUCCGAAUAGGGCGUUCAGUCGCUGGGUGUAGACCCGAAACCAAGUGAUCUAUCCAUGGCCAGGAUGAAGGUGCGGUAACACGCACUGGAGGUCCGAACCGACUAGUGUUGCAAAACUAGCGGAUGAGCUGUGGAUAGGGGUGAAAGGCUAAACAAACUUGGAAAUAGCUGGUUCUCUCCGAAAACUAUUUAGGUAGUGCCUCAAGUAUUACCAUCGGGGGUAGAGCACUGUUAUGGCUAGGGGGUCAUGGCGACUUACCAAACCAUUGCAAACUCCGAAUACCGAUGAGUACAGCUUGGGAGACAGUGCACCGGGUGCUAACGUCCGGACACAAGAGGGAAACAACCCAGACCGCCAGCUAAGGUCCCUAAUAUUGGCUAAGUGGGAAACGAAGUGGGAAGGCUAAAACAGUCAGGAUGUUGGCUUAGAAGCAGCCAUCAUUUAAAGAAAGCGUAAUAGCUCACUGAUCGAGUCGUCCUGCGCGGAAGAUGUAACGGGGCUAAGCCAGUAACCGAAGCUGCGGAUGCACAG